GACGAACGCUGGCGGCGUGCUUAACACAUGCAAGUCGAGCGGUAAGGCCUUUCGGGGUACACGAGCGGCGAACGGGUGAGUAACACGUGGGUGAUCUGCCCUGCACUCUGGGAUAAGCCUGGGAAACUGGGUCUAAUACCGGAUAUGACUACAUGCUGCAUGGUGUGUGGUGGAAAGAUUUAUCGGUGCAGGAUGGGCCCGCGGCCUAUCAGCUUGUUGGUGGGGUAAUGGCCUACCAAGGCGACGACGGGUAGCCGACCUGAGAGGGUGACCGGCCACACUGGGACUGAGACACGGCCCAGACUCCUACGGGAGGCAGCAGUGGGGAAUAUUGCACAAUGGGCGGAAGCCUGAUGCAGCGACGCCGCGUGAGGGAUGAAGGCCUUCGGGUUGUAAACCUCUUUCAGCAGGGACGAAGCGUGAGUGACGGUACCUGCAGAAGAAGCACCGGCUAACUACGUGCCAGCAGCCGCGGUAACAC
rnacentral:rRNA from 1 species